UACGGGGGGGGCAAGCGUUGUUCGGAAUUACUGGGCGUAAAGGGCUCGUAGGUGGCCGACUAAGUCAGACGUGAAAUCCCUCGGCUUAACCGGGGAACUGCGUCUGAUACUGGACGGCUUGAGUUCGGGAGAGGGAUGCGGAAUUCCAGGUGUAGCGGUGAAAUGCGUAGAUAUCUGGAGGAACACCGGUGGCGAAGGCGGCUCUCUGGGACGGUACUGACGCUGAGACGCGAAAGCGUGGGGAGCGAACAGG
rnacentral:rRNA from 1 species